AUGGUUAAGUUAGAAAGGGCGCACGGUGAAUGCCUUGGCACUAGGAGCCGAUGAAGGACGGGACUAACACCGAUAUGCUUCGGGGAGCUGUAAGUGAGCUUUGAUCCGGAGAUUUCCGAAUGGGGAAACCCACUGUUCGUAAUGGAACAGUAUCUUUAUCUGAAUACAUAGGAUAUUGAAGGCAGACCCGGGGAACUGAAACAUCUAAGUACCCGGAGGAAGAGAAAGCAAAUGCGAUUUCCUGAGUAGCGGCGAGCGAAACGGAAUUAGCCCAAACCAAGAGGCUUGCCUCUUGGGGUUGUAGGACACUCUAUACGGAGUUACAAAGGAACGAAGUAAAUGAAGCGACCUGGAAAGGUCCGUCRAAGAAGGUAACAACCCUGUAGUUGAAACUUCGUUCCCUCUUGAGUGGAUCCUGAGUACGGCGGAACACGUGAAAUUCCGUCGGAAGCUGGGAGGACCAUCUCCCAAGGCUAAAUACUACCUAGUGACCGAUAGUGAACCAGUACCGUGAGGGAAAGGUGAAAAGCACCCCGGAAGGGGAGUGAAAGAGAUCCUGAAACCGUGUGCCUACAAG
rnacentral:rRNA from 2 species